rnacentral:rRNA from 1 species
UAACGAAUAUUCCGCAAUGCGCGAAAGCGUGACGGAGCAAUGCCGCGUGUGGGAUGAAGCAUCUAGGUGUGUAAACCACUGUCAGGGUUUAGGAAUUUUGACCAGACCCAAAGGAAGAGCCGGC